UUUGGUAUAAGCUUCGCUUUUAGAUACCGUUGGUCCGGCCCAAUUACAAUAGAUAACAAACCAUCUUAUCGUUAGAUUAAUAACGUAAUAUUUGAAUCUAAUCAAUUUGAUAUUGAUCCGUCACAGAAAUUAAAAAGAUAAUCAAUAGGCGACAAACGUUCAAAGAGAAUGAUCAAAUUUAAAAUGGAUGCGAGUUUUUUUGUUAUUCUCGCUUUAAUAAGCUCCGUGUUCGCCGGUAAACACGAUAUUUACUCCAGACAUGCUGUCUACGGUGUUGAGCUUCGAGACCAGGAUGAUGUGGCGACUCUCUUCAAUCUCCAGCAAAAACUGAACGUCGAUAUCUGGCAGCAUGGUAUGGCCAGAGUCAGAGACGCUGAAGUCAUGGUUUCACCGGAACAGUCCAAGGAGUUCUUCGAGACUUUAGAUAAUAACGGCUUGAAGUAUUAUUUGAAAAUAGAAGAUGUUUCUAAAGUUCUGAAGGAGCACGAAGAGGAUCUGGCGAAAUGGAGGAGAAACAGAAGUAACAGAAUGAUCUUUCAAGAUUAUCCGCGUUACGCUGAGGUAAACCAAUACAUGGAAGAAAUUGCCGCUAGAUAUCCGAAUUUGGUGACCCUAGUCAACGCUGGGAAAAGCUUCGAGGGACGCGACAUCAAAUAUUUGAAGAUAUCGACAACAAACUUCGAGGAUCCCCGCAAACCAGUAUACUUUAUGGACGCCAUGAUGCACGCUCGUGAAUGGGUAACGACACCAGUGACGAUAUACUCAGUCUUCAGACUCGUAGAGAACUUGAGAGAUGAUGAGAGGGAUCUGCUUGAAGACAUCGAUUGGAUCAUUUUGCCUAUUGUCAAUCCCGAUGGCUAUGAGUUCAGUCACACUGACGAUCGUCUUUGGCGUCGCACCCGUUCCGUCAACCUAGAAGUCAGUACUACCUGCUUUGGAGUCGACCCGAAUAGGAACUUUGACGUCGACUUCAAUACCUUAGGGGUCUCCAGCGACCCGUGCUCCCAAACAUAUCCAGGGGUAGCGCCGUUCUCCGAAGCAGAAACGAGGAUUAUCAGGGAUAUCUUCUUGAAGUACUUGCCGCGUAUACAGCUGUACAAUGAUAUUCAUAGCCAUGGAAACUAUGUUCUGUUCGGUUUUGGAAACAACACUUUGACGCCUAAUGUGGCACAGCUGCAUCAUGUGGCUGCCGCGAUGGGCGCGGCCAUGGACGCUGUCAAAUUACCCGAAGCCGGAUAUUAUCUGAUCGGUAACAGCGGUCUGGUGCUAUACAAAACUUCUGGAUGCGGCCAGGAUUACGGUCAGGUGAGAGCAUACAUUAGAUAAAUCAUUGGCAGGACAAACGAAUUACUAAUAUUAAAAAAAUCUAGCAGAAUCCGUCUUCAACGAAAUAAAAAAACAUCCCUAGUAUUUGUUAUUGUUUUCAACAAACACUUUUUUUACCAGCUUGGUUUGUUUGUAAGUAUUUUUAAUGAGAAAUCUUUGAGAGGUAAUUUUAUACGAUGACGAUGCAAUCGUUUUAUUUUUAUUUUUAAUGUCAAGAUGGGUGGACGAGCUCACGGCUCACUUAGUGUUAGGUGUCACAGGAGCCCAUAGACAUCAACCACGUGAAUACCACCGACCAUAUUAAGACAUGAGUUCUAAGUUUCAGUUUUUACAGUACAUUUCGCUCUGAAAUACUUAAUUAAUUAUAAAUUCGAUUCGCUAUUUAAUGUGGAUUUAUUUUUCCGUUUUUAAACUAUCUAUCGAGGAGAAAGUCUCUUUGCUUUAAGCGAUACUUUUGCAACUUUACCGGAGAGCCAUUUAAAGUUUUAAAUUUUGUUAAAAAAUAUCCAAUUACAAAAAUACUUCUUCAGCUAUUUAAGUGGGGUAAACUUUAUUGAAGUUCAAUUAACAACAUCGAAUUGUUGAUGGUAAUAAGAAAUAAGAUUGACCUUGAAUUACAAAGAUAAAUGUCGCUUGAACGAAAUAGACUGUCGAUAUUUUAUUAUACGACUGUAUCAAAAUGUACAGUAGGUAUUGAAUAAUCAGCUAUUAAAAUAAAUAAAUAAACAGAUAUUUAACUAUUCAGGUA